rnacentral:rRNA from 1 species
AUGGCAUGUUUCAAACUACCUCGGGGUUUAUGUGAUCACAUCAAUGGCAUAAUCCGGAAAUUUUGGUGGGGAAGCAAGAAUGGCCAGAGGAAAACUGCUUGGGUGUCGUGGAAGACCAUGUCGAAGCCAAAGGUCAUGGGCGGUCUGGGCUUUAGAGAUGUUGAGUUGUUGAACCGAGCUCUACUCGCUCGCCAAGCAUGGAGACUGUUGGAGGAACCGGAAACACUCAGUGCACGCGUACUUAAAGCUAGAUAUUACCCGGACUGUCACUUGUUGGACGCCACCCUGGGCGCGGCUCCGUCCCAGGUCUGGCGCUCUAUCCUCGAGGGCAGGGACGUGCUGGCACAAGGAGUAAUAAAGAGAAUCGGAAGUGGUCUCCAGACUAGCAUUUGGAAUGAGAACUGGCUGCCA